AGAUGGGUGGGGUCUAGCUAUGUUUCCCAGGCUGGUUUCCAAGUCUUGGCCUCCAGUGAUCCUUCCACCUCAGCCUCCCGAAGUGCUGGGAUUACAGGCAUGAACCACCAUAACCAGACAGGUAUUUGCUGCUCAGAAUUGGCAAAUAGAGGAAUAAAUUCUGUUACCAAAUUCCUUAAUUUCAGGAGAACCCAUGAAAGGAGUAUCAUCCAAUCAGGUCAACUCUCUUUGGUUUCCUAAUGUCUAAACAUUUCACAAUUUAUGGAAUUAUGAAAGGAUCCAGCUCCCCAGAGGAUGUGAGCACAUCUGAACACAAUUAUACACUGCAGCCAGACCACUGUUAGCUUUCUGGGGCAAAAGACACAGAGAAAGACCAGGAUAAUCCUUGUGCGUGCAGCUCAGAUUUGGCCCCUGUCGCCACACGCUGCCAAGCCUGUCACAUUCUGGCAAUAAGGAGCAAUGCUUGGAUGGGGACCAGGACCAUGCUGACAUCUGACCACCUCUGCAGUCUGGGCGAAUUCCAAGAAAUCCCUCAGAAGAAAGUGCCAUGCAGAAACAUCCUGGCGGGGGAACUGCCCACACAGCUGUGCCAGUUAUUCACCCUCGCCAGAUUCUUCAUGCUCUUUCCCACUUCAAGGCCCUUGCAUUAGCUGUUCUCCCUGACCAUGCACUUGACUCUCAAGAACAUUUAGGUAAGUCAUGUCCUUACCUAAGCUUAGGGGCUUAAGUGAGGGACUUGGUGUCCUGGAAGUACUCCCUAGCUCGCCACUCUAUGUAGCACCCAGUCCAGAUCUUCAGCCUCCAUCCAUCCUUUGAGAAUGUUUUAUCCUCUGAUCCCUUGAGAUAUGGGCCCUUUCUGUGACCCACCAGCCUGUGCCAGAGCCCAGGGCCUUAAUUCUGGAGGAGACAUGAUGCUACCCUGGGAACGGGUCCUUCCGGGACACGAGGCAGCUGGAGAGCUCUGGGUGUGACAGAGGAAUACGGAAACGGAGAAGAAACAAAGAAACAGAGAAAUGAGGAAACGAGGAAGGAAAAGGGUGGCUCCUGGAGACAAAUGUUUCCUUCUCCACACUUCUGCUGAUGCUGAGGUGGCCUUUAAAGUGCCAGCAAGGAGCCGGGAGGGGUUUGCACAUGUGUUGCUGGGCAUGGAUGGGGUGGUGUGUGUGCCAGGAUGGGAGCCUUCCUGGGCAGUCACUACUGGGUGGGGCGCUCCAGUCAAGACAUCAAGACAGACAGCUAAGGCUUUCUCCCAAACCAAAAGACUUGCAAACUUCCAUACAAGUUCUGAGUUUUCUUCUGAAGCUAACUUCUUGGAGCUCAAUGGCAUGAAACCGUCAUGCAGUUAAAGCAUUUAAGGGCUGUAUAUGCCCUGGGGGCUGUCAAUGUCAUAGACACUGUCAUUUCUCUCUCCCUGCACAAAAAUAACUAAAAUGAUGAAUCCGGCUGGCUCUCCCCUCUCCCUCGCUAUCCUCCACCUUCUAUGCAGUCCUGCGGACAUUCUGAUCUGUUUCCUCCUCCCCAUCCUCCCCUUCCCCCCCAAGUAUACUCUCAGCUCUUCGUGGUCUCUCUCUCCCAACUGCAGCCUCCCCCAAGACUCCAUCUUCAGGCCUCCUUCCCUCACCACCUCCAAGGCUGCGGCUCCAGGACACAAGCUGACCACCCUGCCCAACCCGAAGUCCUCGACUGAUGCUCAGUGCUUAUAGGUUCAAGUCCAGGCUCCCUAGCAUAGCACUGAAGUCAUGGCUCAGUUUACCCUUCCAAGCCUGUCUCCCCCAAGUCCUGCCCUCCUCCUCUCAUCACUGCCAAGUACAUCAAGCACUCCCACGUGGCUGGGCUUUAACCCAAGCUGCUCUCUCUUCCCAGAAGGCUCUUCUCUGACUUGCUGCCAAAACACAAAGUCGCUUGGAGGUGAAGGCAAAUAUUAGUUCAGCUGGCAAGCUCCUCUCCACGUCCUCAUCAAAGCCCCCAGCUCCAUGAGCUUCUGGGCUGUUCCUGUGGAUUUCUGCACUCUCUGUGUUGAAACAUCUGUAAUGGGUUAUAGCUGGGAGUUGGAAUGUCUGCCUCCCUUUUCGCUGAGAAGGGGGUCUUUACAGGAUCGAACCCUCCCUGGGUUCUGUCUCCUUCCUUUCAAUAUAGUGAGCAGUUCCUCCCACCUAGUGGGUUCUCCUUAGAUGUCUGGGAGGUCAUCUAUCCAGUGCUGGCUGUUGCAGAUCUGUGCAGUUGCUUUUUGAACAGGACCCACAUCCGUCUUCCAAAAUAUCUAAAAUUAAGUCUUUGACAGUUCCUGAAAAUGUUAGUUAUCAUAUAAUCCAGCAACUCCACUCCAAGGUAUAUAGCCAAAAGAAUUGAAAUCAUAUUCCACACAAAAAU